UACGAAGGGGGCUAGCGUUACUCGGAAUUACUGGGCGUAAAGCGUGCGUAGGUGGUUUGUUAAGUCUGUUGUGAAAGCCCCGGGCUCAACCUGGGAAUGGCAAUGGAUACUGGCAAGCUAGAGUGCGGUAGAGGGUAGUGGAAUUCCCGGUGUAGCGGUGAAAUGCGUAGAGAUCGGGAGGAACACCAGUGGCGAAGGCGGCUACCUGGACCAGCACUGACACUGAGGCACGAAAGCGUGGGGAGCAAACAGG
rnacentral:rRNA from 1 species